CCUGGCCUCCACAGCCUUCGGGAGCUCCCAGACCCAGUGCUGAGUGAGGAGGUGGUGGAGGGCAUUGCCGCUGGCAUUGAGGCAGCCCUCUGGGACCUGACACAAGGCACCAAUGGCCGGUACAAGACCAAGUAUCGCAGCCUGCUGUUCAACCUGCGGGACCCCAGGAACCUGGACUUGUUUCUCAAAGUGGUUCAUGGAGCUGUCACCCCCUAUGACCUGGUGCGGAUGAGCUCGAUGCAGCUGGCCCCCCAGGAGCUGGCCCGCUGGCGGGACCAGGAGGAGAAAAGGGGACCGCAGAUGUUCAUGGACUGCAGCCCACAGGCCCUGCCCAUCGCAUCAGAGGACACCACGGGGCAGCAUGACCACCACUUCUUAGACCCCAACUGCCACAUCUGCAUGGACUGGGAGCCCUCGAAUGAGCUGCUAGGCUCCUUCAAAGCCUCCAAGAGCUGUGGGGACAAUAUCUUCCAGAAAGCCCUAAGCCAAACUCCUAUGCCUGCUCCAGAGAUGCCCAAAACCAGGGAGUUGCUUCCCACGGAACCACAGGACAGGUGUGGGGUUGGGAGCAGGGAGGUGGAUAACCCAGCAGGGUUGAGGGGGAGGCCACUACCUGGGGCAACAGACAUAGCACUGGCUUUUUCUGUGUGGCCUUGGGCAAGUCUUCCCUCCCUUGGGAACCUCACUUUCCCCAUCUGUGCAAUGGAACUAAUCAUCCCAGCCUCCUGGCAGCCCCCUGCACAAGGCCAAGCUUGGGCCAGUGUUCCAGUCCCCACAGUGGGGACACAGGAUCUGCUCUGAAAAGAAAGGAGGUGUCGGGGAAGUCCUCAUGGCCUGCUCUGUCUGGCCCUGUCUUCUGUCCCUCCCUCUAGGGUCCCUCCAUCUGGGCUCCAUGUGCCUGCUGCACCCACAAAGGCCCUGCCCUGCCUGCCACCCUGGGAAGGUGUUCUGGACAUGUUCUCCAUCAAGCGGUUCCGGGCCAGGGCCCAGCUGGUCUCCGGACACAGCUGUCGGCUUGUCCAGGCUCUGCCCACCGUGAUCCGCUCGGCAGGCUGCAUCCCCUCCAACACUGUCUGGGACCUUCUGGCCAGCAUCUGCCCAGCCAAGGCCAAGGUCUGGAGGUCACUCACUCAAGUCUGUUGCUGGCUGUGCUGCUCCCCAAGGAAGGGCUUCCAGACACAGUAACGUCCAGCCCCUGGUUGGGGAAGGUUCAAAAGAUGGUCUCCUUCAACAGUAAGGUGGAGAAGAGAUACUAUCAGCCAGAUGACAGGAGGCCGAAUGUCCCCCUGAAGGACACCCCUCCCCCAGGAGGUGCCUGGCAGCAGAGCCAGGGCAGGGGCAGUAUAGCUCCAAGGGGAAUCUUUGCUUGGCAGAGGCCCCCCAGAGGCAGGGGGAGGCUCUGGCCAGAGCCUGAAACCUGGCAACAUCCUGGGCGAGGGCAGUGGCCCCCAGAGCCAGGCUUGCGCCAGUCCCAGCAUCCCUAUUCAGUAGCACCAGCUGGUCAUGGCUUUGGCCGUGGCCAGCACUUCCACAGGGACUCCUGUCCCCACCAAGCCCUGCUCCGGCACCUCGAAUCUCUGGUGACCAUGAGUCACCAGCUCCAAGCCUUACUGUGCCCCCAGACCAAGAGCUCCAUCCCCCACCCUCUGCAGCGUUUGUCUAGCCCCCUUGCAGCUCCAGAGCCCCCUGGCCCAGCCCCUGACUCCUCUUUGGGGCCUACAGAUGAAGCUGGCUCUGAGUGUCCCUUCCCUAGAAAGGCCUGACCCUCCUUAUCCACCAGAACAGGGGUUUUGAUGCCCUCACUAGUGUUGAAGCCUGUUCUAGAGAGAGGCAGGACUGCAAGGAGAGGAUGGUCAGCCCUACUUACCUGCCCUGUUUGAGCUUCCUGUUUGACAAUGUUUGCUGUUGAUUUUUUGUUCAAUAAAGAAUUUGGUAAAA
rnacentral:sRNA from 1 species